rnacentral:rRNA from 1 species
GACGAACCGUCCUAACGUUGUUCGGAAUCACUGGGCUUAAAGGGCGCGUAGGCGGCUUGCCAAGUCGGGGGUGAAAUCCUGCAGCUUAACUGUAGAAGGGCCUUUGAUACUGGCGAGCUCGAGGGAGGUAGGGGUAUGUGGAACUUCCGGUGGAGCGGUGAAAUGCGUUGAUAUCGGAAGGAACGCCGGUGGCGAAAGCGACGUACUGGACCUCUUCUGACGCUGAGGCGCGAAAGCUAGGGGAGCAAACGGG